rnacentral:lncRNA from 1 species
CGAGCAAUUUUUCUUGGAUGAUUGUGGACAAAAAAAAUGACGAAAUUUCCCCUCUCCUUAUUUUUGAACUUAUAAUUGCCAUGAAUUUUUGUUACAGAUCAAAAAUUUGCCUCAAAAGUAAGACUGAUCAAUGGUGUCAAAACUUUUCACCAUUUUCUGCGGACAUAUACGUAUAAUCACAAUAAGCUCCUGCUUCCAAAUCUACUCAUUAUUCGAACUUUAGUAUUAAAUAAUGCUACCUCAAAUAUUCUGGUAAAAGAUGGUAUUGUGCAGAGUCUAGAAAAAUUCUUCUGACGAUUGGCUACUCUCCUAGUCUCAAACUUCGGAUAAUCAUGAAUAUCUACUGUUGCCUCAGCCGUAGCAAAACUGGUCGUAAUGCAAUUCGUGCAAACAAUGGUUUUGCUGUCUUGUACAAGUUUUGUGUUCUGUGUCCUGAAGACAAGCUUUAUGAUUCUCUAUUAUCUCGUGUUUGUGCUGUGAUCAAUAUGUGCCUGGAGCGACGUGAUCUUCCUGUGCCUUCGUUGUAUGGUCCAUAUCGCUUCAAUCUGCGGAAUGUUAGUUCCUCAUUCCAGAAAUCAGACUUUGGAAGCAUGAGUGAAGAGAGUGACUCCUCCGAUGAGGAUGAUGAGGAUGAAGAGUUGGAGGUGGAGAACGAACUUCUUGAUGGUGGAUCGCUCAAGAAAACUCGUCGCAAAUCAUCAGGCUUGCAUCAAGUUCCCUUGCUCUAUAGCUUUCGGGAGUUCGAUCAACUUCAAAUUUAUAAGAAGUUUUUGAGGAGUUCUAUGCUUCUCCCACUGGUGGCAGUAUUCCCACCGACAACAGUGCAAUUAGUAGACAGAAUUCGGGCAUUUCCAUUGGUCCACCAAGUAACAAAAUUAAAAGUGCUGUGAACAUUCCAUUUGUGUUAGUACAGAAUUAAAUAAUAAUUAGAAUACACUUUGCAAUAAAUUAGGAGCUACAAGUUCUGGCUCAUCCGUAGAACCACUAAUAUGCAUAGGGAAACAAAUGUCUCGUACGUUGUUUCUUAAUCGAGCUAGGGAUUGUAGUCCCUAAUUGCAAAAUGUAGUCCACUUCCUAGUAAGUAAUUCAAAUGAUAUAGAACUAGCUCAUCAAGUUCUGGAAAUUAAAGUUUCUGCUCUGUGUAAUCUAUUGAUUAGUAUUUAUCAUUUAUUAGAGUGUCAAGAUAAAAUCAAAGUCCGAGAGAAAAUGUGUG